GAAAUUAAUUUCAGAUGCUCAUGACUCGCCUACAGAAAAGCAAAACCUCUAGGGAGGUGACAGAAAAACUGGAUUAAGAGCCGCUCUGCUCGGAAAUGACUUUGGAAAGGAAGAAUCUCCAAAUCUCACUUCUAGAUGUGAGUCAUGGAAGUUGUAGUUCAUUUCAGGGUCUCAUACCCACUAAUCAUCAACCUAUCAGUUACCAACAGAGGGAAUGCCAUGUCACAGAGAAGCAGUUUAAACUACUAGAGCAAGAGUUUACUCGAGUAAUUUCAACUCAUUGCCCAAAGGUUGAAAUCCUCAAAGGAAAGUUAAAUACUGUCCUCUUGAAAGGGCCCAUCAAAGAGGUGCAGACAGGUGCUGCUAAAUUAAAUGCACUAAUGAAGGAAUUAAUAGAUAAGAGAGUUAAGCUCCCUCAGGAUGUAAUGACAUUCCUGAAAUCCGGUGGGGUUGUCUCAAAGUA